AUUAUUUUCCCUUUGUCUACCAUUAUUUGAACAUUGUGGUAAGCUUAUAUGAAACUGCUUAUCAUAUUAAUUUGUAAAUGUCACUUAGCUUCUCAUAUUAGUCAUUUUCCAUUGAUAUCACAUCUUGAAGAUGCUUAAAUUAAGUUGUUCAGCACACAUAAUUAUCAGUGCAUUCUGUGAGCUGUUUAAUAUACUUGAACUUCACCAGCAUUGUUCACCUCCCACCAUAGCACACAGAGAUAGCAUAGUUACUUUAUUCUACAGUCACUCAGAUAACCAUUAUACAUUAUGCUUUCUCCCAAAUAAUUGGCUCUUGACCAAGUGCCAGAUAUUGUUAGGGAAAGGUGAUGUCAUUGUUGAGCAAGAUUUGUUUAUGUUCCCAAUCAAUAUUUUAGUUUAUUUGAGCUGCUGUAAAAAAAUACCAGACUUGGUGGGUUUUUUGUUUUUUUCAUGACAGAGUUUCUCUGUGUAACCAUCCUGGCUGUCCAAGAACUGGUUUUGUAGACCAGGCUGCCCUCGAACUCAGAGAGAUCUGCCCGCCUCUACCUCCUGGGUGCUGGAUUAAAGGUAUGGACCACCACUCCUGGCAGGGCUGGCUUCUUAUGGCAAAUCUAAGGGUGUAGUUUAGAAUUAUUUCUACUUCUGCUGUAAAAUCAAGUACAACUUCCUAUGUGCUGUUCUUGUGGUGAGGGCAGGCAGUGCAUAUUAAUGUAAGUUGGUUUUGCCUUCAGAGAACUUGGAAGUUUAUAGGAAUUCUGCAAGUGUUGCUGUGCCAUUGUCUAUCAUGAAGGGCUGUUGAUUCAUAUCUGGGUCAGGCUCCAAGUGUUUUAAACUGAUCUAAAGACCCUAUUCGUUCAUGCCUUUGCCCAACUGUGAGUACUAACACUGUCCAGCUUUAGUCAAGGAAUCUGCCUGUCCCAGGUUGCUAAAGCCUUUCUAGGCUGCUUCCUGUCUUCUGGAAGAGUGAUCCUUCUACUGAUCCAAUCUACUUACCAUUUUUUUCUGAAUGCCAUUCAUUAAACGCAAAUUCCUUUUGCUCUAGCAGUCACACUACUGAGUAUGUAAGCAGAGAGAAUGAAAUCACCAGGCUGAGGAGACAUCUGCACUCAUGCGUUCAUUGAAGCAGUAUUCUCAAUAAUUAAAAACUAGAAACAGCCAAAGUGUACAUCACAUGAUAAAUGUAUAAAGAGUAUGGUGCAUUUAUAUGAUAGAUUACUAUUCAGCCAUACAAAGGAAUGAAAUCCUGUCAUCUGUGACACAGUCAGAUGGAACAAAAGAUUUGUUAAGCGAGUGAAACAAGCCAGUCACACAUUAACACUGCAUGAUUUCUGUUCGUGUGGAAUCCAGUGAAAAAUGAUCUCAUACAAGUUGUUAUCAAAAUCUUGGGAGAGAUACUCGAAUGGGGAAAGGUCAAACAAGGGUCACUAAGUUGUAGUUACUUAGAAGAAAGUUCUGUUGUACUAUUACAUAGUUACGUGUCUGUAGAUCAUCAUUAAUGUACGAUACAUGAAAAUUAGAAGAAAAUAUUUGACGUUUUUAUUAUGAAGAAGUGAUGAGGAAAGAAAUGCACAUGAUUUAAAUAUUAUACAGUGUAUACAUGUACUGAAAUAUAUCUAAUUAAUAUGUACAAAUUUUCUUUUUAUGGAUCACUUAAAAUAAAUUUAAAUAAAUGAAAAAUAAUAGUUGAGUUU
rnacentral:lncRNA from 1 species